AUUGAACGCUGGCGGCAGGCCUAACACAUGCCAGUCGAGCGGAUGAAGGGAGCUUGCUCCUGGAUUCAGCGGCGGACGGGUGAGUAAUGCCUAGGAAUCUGCCUGGUAGUGGGGGAUAACGUCCGGAAACGGGCGCUAAUACCGCAUACGUCCUGAGGGAGAAAGUGGGGGAUCCUCGGACCUCACGCUAUCAGAUGAGCCUAGGUCGGAUUAGCUAGUUGGUGGGGUAAAGGCCUACCAAGGCGACGAUCCGUAACUGGUCUGAGAGGAUGAUCAGUCACACUGGAACUGAGAGACGGUCCAGACUCGUACGGGAGGCAGCAGUGGGGAAUAUUGGACAAGGGGCGAAAGCCUGAUCCAGCCAUGCGGCGUGUGUGAAGAAGGUCUUCGGAUUGUAAAGCACUUUAAGUUGGGAGGAAGGGCAGUAAGUUAAGACCUUGCUGUUUUGACGUUACCAACAGAAUAAGCACCGGCUAACUUCGUG
rnacentral:rRNA from 1 species